UACGAAGGGGGCUAGCGUUGCUCGGAAUUACUGGGCGUAAAGGGCGCGUAGGCGGCUCUGUUAGUCAGGCGUGAAAUUCCUGGGCUCAACCUGGGGACUGCGCUUGAUACGGCGGGGCUUGAGGGUGGAAGAGGGGCGCGGAAUUCCCAGUGUAGAGGUGAAAUUCGUAGAUAUUGGGAAGAACACCGGUGGCGAAGGCGGCGACCUGGUCCAUUACUGACGCUGAGGCGCGACAGCGUGGGGAGCAAACAGG
rnacentral:rRNA from 1 species